rnacentral:rRNA from 1 species
GACGAACGCUGGCGGCGCGCUUAACACAUGCAAGUCGAACGGAAAGGCCUGCUUUCCCUUGUGGAUUGCGGGUACUCGAGUGGCGAACGGGUGAGUAACACGUGAGUGAUCUGCCCCCAACUUGGGUAUAAGCCUGGGAAACUGGGUCUAAUUCCCGAUAGGACUGCAGGGUGGUGCCUGUGGUGGAACACGAUUUUCUAGUGGUUGGGGAUGAGCUCGCGGCCUAUCAGCUUGUUGGUGGGGUAAUGGCCUACCAAGGCGGCGACGGGUAGCCGGCCUGAGAGGGUGGGCGGCCACAUUGGGAAUGAGAUACGGCCCAGACGCCUACGGGAGGCAGCAGUGGGGAAUAUUGCACAAUGGGCGGAAGCCCGAUGCAGCGACGCCGCGUGGGGGAUGACGGCCUUCGGGUUGUAAACUCCUUUCGACCGCGAGGAAGCCACCUGGUUGGAAGGGUGGUGACGGUAGUGGUAGAAGAAGCACCGGCUAACUACGUG